AACGAACGCUGGCGGCAGGCUUAACACAUGCAAGUCGAACGCAUCCUUCGGGAUGAGUGGCAGACGGGUGAGUAACGCGUGGGAAUUUACCCAGCUCUACGGAACAACUCAGGGAAACUUGAGCUAAUACCGUAUACGCCCUUUGGGGGAAAGAUUUAUCGGAGUUGGAUGAGCCCGCGUUUGAUUAGCUAGUUGGUGGGGUAAAGGCCUACCAAGGCGACGAUCAAUAGCUGGUCUGAGAGGAUGAUCAGCCACACUGGGACUGAGACACGGCCCAGACUCCUACGGGAGGCAGCAGUGGGGAAUAUUGGACAAUGGGCGCAAGCCUGAUCCAGCCAUGCCGCGUGAGUGAUGAAGGCCCUAGGGUUGUAAAGCUCUUUCAACGGUGAAGAUAAUGACGGUAACCGUAGAAGAAGCCCCCGGCUAACUUCGUGCCAGCCGCCGCGGUAA
rnacentral:rRNA from 1 species